rnacentral:rRNA from 1 species
UACGUAGGGGUGCAACGUUUGCCGGAAUUAUUGGGCGUAAAGAGCUUGUAGGCGGUUUGUCGCGUCUGCUGUGAAAUUUCGGGGCUCAACCCCCGAACUUGCAGUGGGUACGGGCAGACUAGAGUGUGGUAGGGGGAGACUGGAAUUCCUGGUGUAGCGGUGAAAUGCGCAGAUAUCAGGAGGAACACCGAUGGCGAAGGCAGGUCUCUGGGCCAUAACUGACGCUGAGAAGCGAAAAGCAUGGGGGAGCGAACAGG